rnacentral:lncRNA from 10 species
AGUGCUUUCAGCUGUGAGCUUGGGCGGCGGCGGCGGCGGCGCUCCACUUUCGGGGAGCCCGGCGGCUCUGGGAAGCUCACUCCUCCACUCGUACCCACACUCGACCGCGGAGCCCUUGCAGCCAUGAGGGAACAGCUCAAAGCCACGAGACUCAAACAACUUGCUGGGACCAUCCCAAAAUGACAGAGCUCUACCAGUCUUUACUGACCUGAAUAAUGUCAGAUUCUCAGCUUAUAGGACUGCCAUGAAACUCCGAAGACUGCAGAAGGCCCUUUGCUGUAAGUAUUGGCCAGUA